AGUGAACGCUGGCGGCAGGCCUAAUACAUGCAAGUCGAACGGCAGCACAGCAGAGCUUGCUCUGUGGGUGGCGAGUGGCGGAACGGGUGAGGAAUACAUGGGAAUCUGCCCAGUCGUGGGGGAUAACGUAUGGAAACGUACGCUAAUACCGCAUGCGCCCUACGGGGGAAAUCGGGGACCGCAAGGCCUGGCGCGAUUGGAUGAGCCCAUGUUCGAUUAGCUAGUUGGCGGGGUAAAGGCCCACCAAGGCGACGAUCGAUAGCUGGUCUGAGAGGAUGAUCAGCCACACUGGAACUGAGACACGGUCCAGACUCCUACGGGAGGCAGCAGUAGGGAAUAUUGGACAAUGGGGGCAACCCUGAUCCAGCCAUGCCGCGUGAGUGAAGAAGGCCCU
rnacentral:rRNA from 1 species